UGGGGGAUAUUGCACAAUGGGGGAAACCCUGAUGCAGCGAUGCCGCGUGGAGGAAGAAGGUUUUCGGAUUGUAAACUCCUGUCGUAAGGGAAGAGGAAGGACUGUACCUUACAAGAAAGCUCCGGCUAACUACGUGCCAGCAGCCGCGGUAAUACGUAGGGAGCGAGCGUUGUCCGGAAUGACUGGGUGUAAAGGGAGCGUAGGCGGGAUGGCAAGUCAGAUGUGAAACCUGAGGGCUCAACCUUCAGACUGCAUUUGAAACUGCUGUUCUUGAGUGAAGUAGAGGUAAGCGGAAUUCCUGGUGUAGCGGUGAAAUGCGUAGAGAUCAGGAGGAACAUCGGUGGCGAAGGCGGCUUACUGGGCUUUUACUGACGCUGAGGCUCGAAAGCGUGGGGAGCAAACA
rnacentral:rRNA from 1 species